rnacentral:rRNA from 1 species
UGGGGAAUAUUGGACAAUGGGGGCAACCCUGAUCCAGCAAUGCCGCGUGUGUGAAGAAGGUCUUCGGAUUGUAAAGCACUUUCGACGGGGACGAUGAUGACGGUACCCGUAGAAGAAGCCCCGGCUAACUUCGUGCCAGCAGCCGCGGUAAUACGAAGGGGGCUAGCGUUGCUCGGAAUGACUGGGCGUAAAGGGCGUGUAGGCGGUUUACACAGUCAGAUGUGAAAUCCCCGGGCUUAACCUGGGAGCUGCAUUUGAUACGUGUAGACUAGAGUGUGAGAGAGGGUUGUGGAAUUCCCAGUGUAGAGAUG